AUUGAACGCUGGCGGCAUGCCUUACACAUGCAAGUCGAACGGUAACAGGUCUUCGGAUGCUGACGAGUGGCGAACGGGUGAGUAAUACAUCGGAACGUGCCCGAUCGUGGGGGCUAACGAAGCGAAAGCUUUGCUAAUACCGCAUACGAUCUACGGAUGAAAGCAGGGGACCGCAAGGCCUUGCGCGAACGGAGCGGCCGAUGGCAGAUUAGGUAGUUGGUGGGGUAAAAGCUUACCAAGCCGACGAUCUGUAGCUGGUCUGAGAGGACGACCAGCCACACUGGGACUGAGACACGGCCCAGACUCCUACGGGAGGCAGCAGUGGGGAAUUUUGGACAAUGGGCGAAAGCCUGAUCCAGCCAUGCCGCGUGCAGGAUGAAGGCCUUCGGGUUGUAAACUGCUUUUGUACGGAACGAAAAGACUCUGGUUAAUACCUGGGGUCCAUGACGGUACCGUAAGAAUAAGCACCGGCUAACUACGUG
rnacentral:rRNA from 1 species